AUUGAACGCUGGCGGCAUGCCUAACACAUGCAAGUCGAGCGAGCGGCGGACGGGUGAGUAAUGUCUGGGAAACUGCCUGAUGGCGGGGGAUAACUACUGGAAACGGUAGCUAAUACCGCAUACCAUCAGAUUUGCCCAGAUGGGAUUAGCUAGUCGGUGGGGUAACGGCUUACCUAGGCGACGAUCCCUAGCUGGGCUGAGAGGAUGACCAGCCACACUGGGACUGAGACACGGCCCAGACUCCUACGGGAGGCAGCAGUGGGGAAUAUUGGACAAUGGGCGCAAGCCUGAUGCAGCCAUGCCGCGUGUAUGAAGAAGGCCUUCGGGUUGUAAAGUACUUUCAGCGGGGAGGCGUUACCCGAAGAAGAAGCACCGGCUAACUCCGUGCCAGCAGCCGCGGUAAUAC
rnacentral:rRNA from 1 species